ACGUAGCCCGGCGCGGGGCGCUGCAGCGCUGCCACUUGGCCGGGCGGGGCGGCGGUCUGGCUGAAGCGCGGCUGGCGCUAGGGGGAGCCCCGGGCACGAGCCGGCGUCCGCCCGCCCGUGUGGCUGUCCGGGCUGCUCGAUCUACCCGGCGCUCGGGUCAUCCCGUGGGUCAGACCCUCGGAAGGGAAGGGUGGUUAACUGCUGCAGUGCGAGCAGUUUGCUCGCAGCCCGCGGUCUCAGGGUCCGUUUUCAGUCUCGGCGGUGUAUGGCUCCCCAGAGCCCUUCUGUGCCACCUCGCGGGUCCCUUUGUUUCACAGCUGCGUUUAUCCUCACAUUUGGCGUUCGCUGAGGUGCGUGUACACCAUCAGUGCUCUGCAUCGCAGCCGGUGCACUUAGUUAUGCCAGACAUCUCUCUCACAAAGAACUCUGGUUUUGAAAAUGCCUGAGAACGGUGUGCAAGGAAAAGAAAUAAGAAGGCAAAACUGUAAUGGUGCUUCACCAGCAUGCUGUGAGCUCCUUGUGCGGGUGAAGGGCUGCCUAGUUGAGGAUAGAGAUGUAAAAGGAAUUCAUUAUUUUUGUGUAAUUUCAAUGGAAUCAUUAUUUUCCACUGAAUUCUAAUGUGGUGUCUUCAUAGUCCUUCAGCAGCAGGCAGUGCUAGCAGUGCUGAGUGACCAUUUUCAUACCUUCUUUCCUAUUUGCUUCCUGUUAGAGGGAAGUAGUCGCCCACAAUGGAAGCUUGUCCUUCUCCUCGGCCUUGAAGCUGCCAUGGAAUCCGUAUGUUGGAGGAUGUGUUACUGAUCCAUAUUGCCACAAGCAGAAACUGCAUGUUUUUAGGAAGUCUAGAAGAGGCAAAAGAAAGCAAAAGACAUCACUAUUCACCCCAAUGAUCUUGCUGCUGUUCUGACUGACCACAAGAGCUGAAAUAGCUCUACGGGAGUAAAGAAUCUCUAACA